rnacentral:tRNA from 1 species
ACCUGGGUGGCUCAGCCAGUUAAGUGUCUGACUUCAGCUCAGGUCAUGAUCUCCUGGCUUGUGGGUUUGAGCCCCACAUCAGGUU